AAAAAGCGCCGGCUGUCGCGAACGGUACCCGCGAAAACAAGGAGCCUAUGUGAGGAAGUUGACAAGGGCUUUGAGAAGCAGCGACGUGCGCGCACCACAGCACGCACCGCCUUCAGUCGACGGAUGUGACUCGCGGUUGAGGAUCCAAACAACGUUCGCGCAUACACAUUUCUGCUUCGCUUUUCGUUGCUUUCGCUUCCGCAGCUGCCGCUUGGCUUCUCGACUGACCAAAGGACGAUUCGCCGUCCGCAACGUGCCUCCCGCUGCAGCACUAGAGCGAAAUGAGUUGCACAGGCACCCCAAGCGCUCCAGCCACAGGCAAGUAUCUGCGUCUGACAGGCACCCGCGCAAUACACUGCCCUCAGCACAUGAAUGUGCCAUCCAAAUCUCAAACGACGAGGGUAACUGCGCAGCGGCGGCGGCGGUGCAAGCGUGGACUGCUGUGUUCUCUCCUAUCGAUCGCCCUUUGAGGCGCCGUGCUGCCUCUUUUUGUUCUGUUUCCAGUCUCUGUCUUUCGUAGGAUCUUCUCGCCCACUGCGUAUUGCGUAUGUGAUGGUGCUGAAAAGCACAGGAGCUCCGUCGUUCCCUCACCCACUCUUCCCACGCCUCUACGGUGUUGGGAAGUUCGCAGCCCCGCCAAAGAUCCCCAUACGUGUCCCCCCAUCGCCCAUUCGCUAAAUCUGCAGCGGCUGUUGGGCCUUCUCUUUGGCUGCUUCUUUGUCUUCUCGUGUGCACUGGAAAACUUCUGUUCUCUCGCUCGCAGGAUCUUCUUGCUCGGCCCUUUCUAUUCCGCUCUUCUCGGUCGCUUUCUUUUGGUGGUUCCCCACCCUUUCCAUGUGUUGAGCCUCUGGUCAACUCGAUCUUUUUUUUUCUUCCGCAGGCCAGCUGGCGGACCCGUUUGUAUGCCGACCGAUCCAACACGUGUGCGUCUCUUCUACUUGACUGGGGGCAGGGAUGAGUACACAGGGAAAAAGGUCAAAGAUAGCCGUAAGAAGGGUUACCGUGACGUUGCCGAAGAUGCCGCUCUCUCGAGCUCUUCCUCGCGACUAUUUUGUGCGCGCAUGCGCUUGCUCUUGUUUGCAUCUUUGAUGUGUACUAGGAAAGGCGGAGGGGUCAGCGCCGUAUUCGCUCUCUCUGCUACCCCGCACUGGACGAAGCAUUACUACAGCUGCGGAUCAGUCGAAG
rnacentral:misc_RNA from 1 species